GUAUUAGACAUGUCGUUGAAUCCUGAUGAAGUCAGGCCACAAGACAUACGGACCACCAUUACGUAUGUAGCACAAAAUCCCCUUGGUGUAGAUCUUGCCUGGAAUUUCUUUAGGAAUAGACUAACAGAACUCGAUUCAAGUAUGGGUUCCAGUACAUUAGCUCGACUACUAGUAUCUGUUACAGAGAAAUUCAACACUCAGUUUUAUUUAGAUCAGAUACAAGAGAUGAUAAAUAACGGACAAACUGCAUCUAUUAGUGGCUCCUUUAGAACGGCUGUAGAAAAGACAGAAGCUAAUAUGGAAUGGUUGAGCAAUAACUACGAUUAUUACAAAAAUUGGUUAAAUCCCACAAUUACUCCUACAGCAUAAGAUUACAAGACGAAACACAUGUACAAAAAUUGGUUGAUCCCACAAUUAUUCCUAUAGCAUUUGGAUAACACAUCGUUACUAAACAUUCCAUACAUAAUGAUCUAUUACGACGUUUAACUCAAUAUGUAGAACUAAGGAAACUUGAUAUAUACUUUCCAUUCAUAAGACCUGA